UACGUAGGGUGCAAGCGUUAAUCGGAAUUACUGGGCGUAAAGCGUGCGCAGGCGGUUAUGUAAGACAGUUGUGAAAUCCCCGGGCUCAACCUGGGAACUGCAUCUGUGACUGCAUAGCUAGAGUACGGUAGAGGGGGAUGGAAUUCCGCGUGUAGCAGUGAAAUGCGUAGAUAUGCGGAGGAACACCGAUGGCGAAGGCAGCCCCCUGGGCUGAGAUUGACGCUCAGGCACGAAAGCGUGGGGAGCAAACAGG
rnacentral:rRNA from 1 species